UGGGGAAUUUUGGACAAUGGGCGAAAGCCUGAUCCAGCAAUGCCGCGUGUGUGAAGAAGGCCUUCGGGUUGUAAAGCACUUUUGUCCGGAAAGAAAUCCUUGGCUCUAAUACAGUCGGGGGAUGACGGUACCGGAAGAAUAAGCACCGGCUAACUACGUGCCAGCAGCCGCGGUAAUACGUAGGGUGCAAGCGUUAAUCGGAAUUACUGGGCGUAAAGCGUGCGCAGGCGGUUUGCUAAGACCGAUGUGAAAAUCCCCGGGCGUCAACCUAGGCAACUGGCAAUUGGUGAUGCUGGGCAGGCUAGAGUAUGGCAGAGGGGGGUGAGAAUUCCACGUGUAGCAGUGAAAAUGCGUAGAGAUGUGGAGGAAUACCGAUGGCGAAGGCAGCCCC
rnacentral:rRNA from 1 species